rnacentral:rRNA from 1 species
UACGUAGGGUGCAAGCGUUGUCCGGAAUUAUUGGGCGUAAAGAGCUCGUAGGCGGUUUGUCGCGUCUGGUGUGAAAAUCCAGGGCUUAACCCUGGACCUGCAUCGGGUACGGGCAGACUAGAGUGCGGUAGGGGAGAUCGGAAUUCCUGGUGUAGCGGUGAAAUGCGUAGAUAUCGAGAGGAACACCAGUGGCGAAGGCGAGUCCCUGGACAACACCUGACACUGAGGCACGAAAGCCGGGGGAGCAAACAGG